UCAGGAUGAACGCUGGCGGCGUGCUUAACACAUGCAAAGUCGAACGAAGCGCUACCGACGGAACUUUUCGGAGGGAAGAUGGUAAUGACUGAGUGGCGGACGGGUGAGUAACGCGUGGGUAACCUGCCUCACAGAGGGGGACAACAGCCGGAAACGGCUGCUAAUACCGCAUAACAAGGGAUCUCCGCAUGAAGGUUCCUUCAAAGAUUUAUCGCUGUGAGAUGGACCCGCGUCUGAUUAGCUAGUUGGCAGGGUAACGGCCUACCAAGGCGACGAUCAGUAGCCGGCUUGAGAGAGUGAACGGCCACAUUGGGACUGAGACACGGCCCAGACUCCUACGGGAGGCAGCAGUGGGGAAUAUUGCACAAUGGGGGAAACCCUGAUGCAGCGACGCCGCGUGAGUGAAGAAGUAUUUCGGUAUGUAAAGCUCUAUCAGCAGGGAAGAUAAUGACGGUACCUGACUAAGGAGCCCCGGCUAACUACGUG
rnacentral:rRNA from 1 species